GAUGAACGCUGGCGGCGUGCUUAACACAUGCAAGUCGAACGAUGAAGCCCAGCUUGCUGGGUGGAUUAGUGGCGAACGGGUGAGUAACACGUGAGUAACCUGCCCUUAACUCUGGGAUAAGCCUGGGAAACUGGGUCUAAUACCGGAUAGGAGCGUCCACCGCAUGGUGGGUGUUGGAAAGAUUUAUCGGUUUUGGAUGGACUCGCGGCCUAUCAGCUUGUUGGUGAGGUAAUGGCUCACCAAGGCGACGACAGGUAGCCGGCCUGAGAGGGUGACCGGCCACACUGGGACUGAGACACGGCCCAGACUCCUACGGGAGGCAGCAGUGGGGAAUAUUGCACAAUGGGCGCAAGCCUGAUGCAGCGACGCCGCGUGAGGGAUGACGGCCUUCGGGUUGUAAACCUCUUUCAGUAGGGAAGAAGCGAAAGUGACGGUACCUGCAGAAGAAGCACCGGCUAACUACGUG
rnacentral:rRNA from 1 species